rnacentral:rRNA from 1 species
ACAGCAGUAGCCGCGGGAAUACGUAGGUGGCAAGCGUUGUCCGGAAUUAUUGGGCGUAAAGGGCUCGCAGGCGGUUUCUUAAGUCUGAUGUGAAAGCCCCCGGCUCAACCGGGGAGGGUCAUUGGAAACUGGGAAACUUGAGUGCAGAAGAGGAGAGUGGAAUUCCACGCGUAGCGGUGAAAUGCGUAGAGAUGUGGAGGAACGCCAGUGGCGAAGGCGACUCUCUGGUCUGUAACUGACGCUGAGGAGCGAAAGCGUGGGGAGCGAACAGGUUUAGAUACCCCCGUAGUCCCUGUCUCUUAUAC